AAGGGGGCAGGGGUAAGGGGGUGCCAGAUUAGGCCCCACACAUCUGAGGGCGGGACUGAGGCACAGGCUGCUGGCCGCAUUCCAGCCCCAAGGCCUCCGAUGUGUGGGCCCCACCCUGGGCCUCCCAAGGGUUUCCACACAGGAAGGAAGGGCGUCAGGGAGCCAGCGCCAGGGGACGGUCCAGCUCCACACUUCCUUCCUGGAGCACAGGGGUCGCACAGCCCCCGGCCUCAGCAAGCGGUCCCCCAGGCAGCACCUGCCCCAAGCCACCCAAACCACCCCUGACUCACUCGGAAAUGUGCAGGAAGAUGUCGGGGCCGCCAUCGGCCGGGGUAAUGAAGCCGUGGCCCUUGGAGCGACAGAAGCAUUUGCAGACUCCUUUGUAGACAGGACCUUGAGAAGCCCGCACCGUCCUGACAGAGAUGGGCAGAGUGAGAUGGGGGGACCACCACCAGCCCUCCAAAACAGCCACCCACUCUUCUGGGGCCCACCCAGCUCAUCCCUGAACACUCCCCCAAAAAGCUGUGCCCCAGCCCAUAGCCAAGGCCACAAUGUACAGCCAUGCAGGCUGUGCACUGCACAACUCUGGGAGCCAUUCACGCAGACUCUAAUACGAGUGAUCCUGAUGACCCUGGCAAAUUUUCUCAGGCCUCAGUUUUUCCAUCUGGACAGGGGGUUAGACCAAAAGCUCUCUGAGCAUCCCUCAAAGGAUUAGUCAUUAAUUAACUGCUCCUGGGGCCCGAGAUCUGGAUCCGCCAGGCACCGUGCACGUCCUCUGCAGCUCUACGGCCAACCUGCUACUGUCCCCAUUUUGCAGGUCAGGAAGUUAAGGUCCCACAAAGGAAGAGGCUUGUGUAUGGUUAAAACUCAACGAUUUAAGAUC